UACGUAGGGGGCUAGCGUUGUCCGGAAUCAUUGGGCGUAAAGAGCGCGUAGGCGGCCAGAUAAGUCCGGUGUGAAAGUCACAGGCUCAACCUGUGAAUGCCGCUGGAAACUGUCUGGCUAGAGUCCGGAAGGGGCGAGUGGAAUUCCUGGUGUAGCGGUGAAAUGCGCAGAUAUCAGGAGGAACACCAAUGGCGAAGGCAGCUCGCUGGGACGAUACUGACGCUGAGGCGCGAAAGCGUGGGGAGCAAACAGG
rnacentral:rRNA from 1 species